rnacentral:tRNA from 1 species
UCGACUCGUGGACGAAUUCGAUCGGGUCUUCCACGGUGAGGAUGUGGUGGUACUUGGUGCUGUUCAAGUAGUCGAGC